CCAAGUUUUUAAGGGCGCACGGUGGAUGCCUUGGCACCAGGAACCGAUGAAGGACGUGGGAGGCCACGAUAGUCCCCGGGGAGCCGUCAACCAGGCUUUGAUCCGGGGGUUUCCGAAUGGGGAAACCCGGCAGUCGUCAUGGGCUGUCACCCGCUGCUGAACACAUAGGCAGUGUGGAGGGAACGAGGGGAAGUGAAACAUCUCAGUACCCUCAGGAAGAGAAAACAACCGUGAUUCCGGGAGUAGUGGCGAGCGAAACCGGAUGAGGCCAAACCGUAUACGUGUGAGACCCGGCAGGGGUUGCGUGUGCGGGGUUGUGGGAUCUCUCUUCUGUCGUCUGCCGGCGACAGGACGAGUCAGAAACCGUUGAUGUAGGCGAAGGACAUGCGAAAGGUCCGGCGUAGAGGGUAAGACCCCCGUAGUCGAAACAUCAGCGGCUCGUUUGAGAGACACCCAAGUAGCACGGGGCCCGAGAAAUCCCGUGUGAAUCUGGCGGGACCACCCGCUAAGCCUAAAUAUUCCCUGGUGACCGAUAGCGGAUAGUACCGUGAGGGAAUGGUGAAAAGUACCGCGGGAGCGGAGUGAAAUAGUACCUGAAACCGUGUGCCUACAAGCCGUGGGAGCGUCGGAUAUGUGCUUGCACAUGUCUCGUGACUGCGUGCCUUUUGAAGAAUGAGCCUGCGAGUUUGCGGUGUGUUGCGAGGUUAACCCGUGUGGGGAAGCCGUAGCGAAAGCGAGUCCGAAUAGGGCGAUUCAGUAGCGCGCUCAAGACCCGAAGCGGAGUGAUCUAGCCAUGGGCAGGUUGAAGCGGAGGUAAGACUUCGUGGAGGACCGAACCCACCAGGGUUGAAAACCUGGGGGAUGACCUGUGGUUAGGGGUGAAAGGCCAAUCAAACUCCGUGAUAGCUGGUUCUCCCCGAAAUGCAUUUAGGUGCAGCGUCGUGUGUUUCUUGCCGGAGGUAGAGCACUGGAUAGGCGAUGGGCCCUACCGGGUUACUGACCUUAGCCAAACUCCGAAUGCCGGUAAGUGAGAGCACGGCAGUGAGACUGUGGGGGAUAAGCUCCAUGGUCGAGAGGGAAACAGCCCAGAGCAUCGACUAAGGCCCCUAAGCGUACGCUAAGUGGGAAAGGAUGUGGAGUCGCAGAGACAACCAGGAGGUUGGCUUAGAAGCAGCCACCCUUGAAAGAGUGCGUAAUAGCUCACUGGUCUAGUGAUUCCGCGCCGACAAUGUAGCGGGGCUCAAGCGUACCGCCGAAGUCGUGUCAUUGCAGCAAUAAGCCCCAACGGGUGCUGUGAUGGGUAGGGGAGCGUCGUGUGCCGGGUGAAGCAGCCGCGGAAGCGAGUUGUGGACGGUUCACGAGUGAGAAUGCAGGCAUGAGUAGCGAUACAAACGUGAGAAACGUUUGCGCCGAUUGACUAAGGGUUCCUGGGUCAAGCUGAUCUGCCCAGGGUAAGUCGGGACCUAAGGCGAGGCCGACAGGCGUAGUCGAUGGAUAACCGGUUGAUAUUCCGGUACCCGCUGUGAAGCGUCAAACAUCGAGCAUCGUGAUGCUAAGGCCGUGAAGCCGUUCCGGACCCUUCGGGGAAAGGAAAGUGGUGGAGCCGCCGGCCCAAGCGGUUAGUAGGUGAGUGAUGGGGUGACGCAGGAAGGUAGUCCAGCCCAGGCGGUGGUUGUCCUGGGGUAAGGGUGUAGGACGCAAGGUAGGCAAAUCCGCCUUGCACAUAGUCUGAGACCUGAUGCCGAGCCGAUUGUGGUGAAGUGGAUGAUCCUAUGCUGUCGAGAAAAGCCUCUAGCGAGUUUCAUGGCGGCCCGUACCCUAAACCGACUCAGGUGGUCAGGUAGAGAAUACCGAGGCGUUCGGGUGAACUAUGGUUAAGGAACUCGGCAAAAUGCCCCCGUAACUUCGGGAGAAGGGGGGCCAUCACUGGUGAUAGGUCUAGCACCUUGAGCUGGGGGUGGCCGCAGAGACCAGCGAGAAGCGACUGUUUACUAAAAACACAGGUCCGUGCGAAGCCGUAAGGCGAUGUAUACGGACUGACGCCUGCCCGGUGCUGGAACGUUAAGGGGACCGGUUAGUCACUCUUCGGGGUGGCGAAGCUGAGAACUUAAGCGCCAGUAAACGGCGGUGGUAACUAUAACCAUCCUAAGGUAGCGAAAUUCCUUGUCGGGUAAGUUCCGACCUGCACGAAUGGCGUAACGACUUCUCGACUGUCUCAACCAUAGGCCCGGUGAAAUUGCACUACGAGUAAAGAUGCUCGUUUCGCGCAGCAGGACGGAAAGACCCCGGGACCUUUACUACAGUUUGAUAUUGGUGUUCGGUUCGGCUUGUGUAGGAUAGCUGGGAGACUGUGAAGCAUGCACGCCAGUGUGUGUGGAGUCGUCGUUGAAAUACCAGUCUGGUCGUGCUGGAUGUCUAACCUGGGUCCGUGAUCCGGAUCAGGGACAGUGUCUGAUGGGUAGUUUAACUGGGGCGGUUGCCUCCUAAAGAGUAACGGAGGCGCCCAAAGGUUCCCUCAGCCUGGUUGGCAAUCAGGUGUUGAGUGUAAGUGCACAAGGGAGCUUGACUGUGAGACCGACGGGUCGAGCAGGGACGAAAGUCGGGACUAGUGAUCCGGCGGUGGCUUGUGGAAGCGCCGUCGCUCAACGGAUAAAAGGUACCCCGGGGAUAACAGGCUGAUCUUCCCCAAGAGUCCAUAUCGACGGGAUGGUUUGGCACCUCGAUGUCGGCUCGUCGCAUCCUGGGGCUGGAGUCGGUCCCAAGGGUUGGGCUGUUCGCCCAUUAAAGCGGUACGCGAGCUGGGUUUAGAACGUCGUGAGACAGUUCGGUCCCUAUCCGCUGUGCGCGUAGGAAUAUUGAGAAGGGCUGUCCCUAGUACGAGAGGACCGGGACGGACGAACCUCUGGUGUGCCAGUUGUCCUGCCAAGGGCAUGGCUGGUUGGCUACGUUCGGGAGGGAUAACCGCUGAAAGCAUCUAAGCGGGAAGCCUGCUUCGAGAUGAGUAUUCCCACCUCCUUGAGAGGGUAAGGCUCCCAGUAGACGACUGGGUUGAUAGGCCAGAUAUGGAAGCCUGGUAACGGGUGGAGUUGACUGGUACUAAUAGGCCGAGGGCUUGUCCUC
rnacentral:rRNA from 1 species